rnacentral:rRNA from 1 species
GACGAACGCUGGCGGCGUGCCUAACACAUGCAAGUCGAACGGAGAUACGAUUUCAGUUGUAUCUUAGUGGCGAACGGGUGAGUAACGCGUGAGCAACCUGACUCUUAGAGGGGGAUAACACCUGGAAACAAGUGCUAAUACCGCAUAAGACCACGACAUGGCAUCAUGACGAGGUCAAAGGAGCAAUCCGCUGAGAGAGGGGCUCGCGUCCCAUUAGAUAGAUGGCGGGGUAACGGCCCACCAUGUCAGCGAUGGGUAGCCGAGCUGAGAGGCUGAUCGGCCACACUGGAACUGAGACACGGUCCAGACUCCUACGGGAGGCAGCAGUGGGGAAUAUUGCACAAUGGGCGCAAGCCUGAUGCAGCCAUGCCGCGUGUAUGAAGAAGGCCUUCGGGUUGUAAAGUACUUUCAGCGGGGAGGAAGGGAGUAAAGUUAAUACCUUUACUCAUUGACGUUACCCGCAGAAGAAGCACCGGCUAAC